rnacentral:rRNA from 1 species
UCAAAUUUUUACCCUAACAACUUUGAUGGUAGGAUAGUGGCCUACUAUGGUGGUGAUGGGUGAUAGAGAAUUAGGGUUCAAUUUCUAAGAGGGAGCUUAAGAAACAGCUACCACAUCCAAGGAAGGCAAUAGGAGCAUAAAUUACCCAAUCCUGACAUGAGGAGCUAGUGACAAUAAAUAACAAUACCAUGUUCUAUGAGUCUGGUAAUUGGAAUGAGUACAAUCUAAAUCCCUUAACAAAGAUCCAUUUGAGGGUUAUAUGCUCUAAUGAUUCAUGAUAGCUCGACGGAUUGCAUGGCCUUUGUGCCAGUGAUGCAUCAUUCAAAUUUCAACCAUAUCAACUUUCAAUGGUAGCGAUUUUGGAAAAUGAGUGUUAUGGUCAGUCCCUGGUGUGCCUCGGUCCUGUCAUGACUAACUUUGAGCUAAAAAGUGAUCGAGGCCUUAUUAAAGGGAUGGUGCUCCUGGAGUUGUGUGCGGGCAUUUUAAGCAAAAGAAUAUGUUGCUGAUAUUAUGCAUGGGCAAUGUGAGCCCUAGGCCUCAAGAUGCAUGGGCAAGUGCAAGCUGAUGUGCAAAUCAUUCAUUUAACUUAGGUAUAUGGGUGAAAGACUGAUCAAAUUAUCUAGUUGUUGGUUCCUUCCAAAGUUUCCCUUAGGAUAGCUGGAACCCUCAGCGAGUUCUAUCGAGUAAAGCCAAUUAUUAGAGGCAUUAGGGGUACAAUGCCCUUAACCUAUUCUCAAACUUUAAAUAGAUAGGACAGCAUGACUGCUUCAUUGAGCCAUGCCCCAAAAUCAAGAGCUCCAAGUGGGCCAUUUUUAGUAAGCAAAGCUGGUGAUGUGGGAUGAAGCGAAAGCCAAGUUAUAGUGCCUAAUUACAUACUAACCUAGAACCCACAAAGGGUGUUGGUCGAUUAAGAUAGUAGGAUGAUGGUCAUGAAAGUUAAAAUCUGCUAAAGAGUGUGUAACAACUCAUCUACUGAAUCAACUAACCCUAAAAAUGGAUGGUGCUUAAGCCUAUGACAUAUACUCGACCAUCAGAGCAAGGGCCAAGCCUCAAUAAGUAUGAAGGCAUGGUAGUUGUCACAAAACCUAAGGUGUGAGCCUAGGCGAUUAGUCAUUGGUGCAAAUCUUAUAGUAGUAGCAAAUAUUCAAAUAAGAACUUUGAAGGCCGAAAAAGGAAAAGGUUCCAUGUGAAUGGCACUUGCGCAUGGGUUAGUCGAUCCUAAGAAAUGGGGGAAACUCAUCUAAUAGCAUAUUUGAUGCGAGCUUUGAAAGGAAAUCAAGUUAAAAUUUUUAAACUGAGAUGUGAUGGCUAAUGGCAACAUUAGGGAGUUUGAAGACAUCGACAAAGGCUUUAGGAAGAGUUAUCUUUUUUGUUUAAUAGCCUACCGAACCUAGAAAUAGCUUAAUUAGAGGUAAGGUCUAGUAGCGAAAAGAGCAUCGCCCAUCGCAUGGUGUCUAGUGCACCCCCGGCAACCUUUGAAAAUCCAAAGGAUCGAGUGUCAUCCAUGCCUGAUCAUACUCAUAACUGAGUGCCAAGGUGAACAACCUCUGGUUAAAGGAACAAUAUAGGCAAGGGAAGUCAACCAAAUGGAUUUAUAAUCUCGGGAAAAAGAUUGGCACUAAAUUCAAGGCAUGAGGGUCCUUGUCCCAAACCCAUCAGCUGUUGAUGCAUGCUCAAGCUACUCUCAUGAUGAGAGCUGGUUGUCAUGUGUCGACCGAGGGACAGCCUGGGAAUGGCUCCUUUGGGGGCCUUCCCCGGCCAAUAAACAAUCAACUUAAAAUUGGUAUGAAUAAGGGGAAUAUGAGUUUUUAAUUUAAACAAAGCAUUGUGAUGGUCCCUGCAAAUGCUCAUGCAAUGUGAUUUUUGCCCAGUACUUUGGAUGUUAAAGUAAAGAAAUUCAAUCAAGUGCAGGUAAAUGGUUGAAAUAACUAUGACUCUUUUAAGGUAGCCAAAUGGCUCAUCAUCUAAUUAGUGACGUGUAUGAUUAGAUUAAUGAGAUUCUCGCUAUCCCUAUCUACUACCUAGCAAAACCAUAGCCAAAAGAAUAGGCUUGGCAGAAUAAUAGGGAAAGAAAACCCUGUUGAGAUUGACUCUAGUCCAACUUUGUGAAAGGACUUGAGAGGUGUAGGAUAAGUGGGAGCUCUCGAGCAAAAUUGAAAUGCCACUACGUUUAACUUUAUUUUACUUAUUCAUGAAUCAGAUGUGGGGCAUAACCUUUUCUUUUGGACAUAAGGCCAGCUUCAGUCAAUCGAUCUAAGUGGAAGACAUUGUCAAGUAGAGAGUUUGGCUAGGGUAGCACAUCUAUUAAAAGAUAAUAUAGGUGUCUGAAGAUAAGCUCAACGAGAACAGAAAUCCCAUGUGGAAUAAAUAGGUAAAAGCUUAUUUGAUUUUGAUUUUCAAUACUAAUACGAACCAUGAAAACAUGGCCUAUUGAUCCUUUAGACCUUUAAAAUUUAAAGCUAGAGAUGUCAAACAAGUUACCACAGGGAUAACUGGCUUGUGGCAACCAAGUGUUCAUAGCGUCAUCAUUUUUUUAUCCUUCGAUGUCAGCUCUUCCUAUCAUUAUGAAGCAGAAUUCACCAAGUGUUGGAUUAUUCACCCACCAAUAGGGAAUGUGAGCUAGGUUUAGAUCAUUGUGAGACUUGUUGGUUUUAUCCUACUGAUCACAACAUUGCAAUAGUAAUUCAACAUAGUAUGAGAAUAAUCAUUGAUUUGCAUAAUUGGUUAUCACCCUUGGUUGAAAAGCUAGUGGCAUAAAGUUAUCGUGUGCUAGAUUAUGAUCGAAUGCCUCUAAGUCAAAAUCUAGGCUAGAAGCGAUGCACGUGCCAGUCGCCCAAUUGUUGACUAGUAGUAGGGGCCCAAAGCCCCCAAAAGCAUGUCUCAUAGACGUAGCCCCCAUGGUGGACAAGCUGCGCGGGUCGCUAUGGAGCUCAAUUACCAUU